AGGAAAAAGGGAAAUCUCUUUUUGUCACUCUUCAUUUGAUACAAAUUCCUGAACAAUGCCUGAAGCUAAGAGGAGACCUAGAUUAGAGUUUUCUUCUUCUCAUCCUUGUUCCAAGAACAUUGGCAGUAAGGCUUGCAUUUAUCAUCUAACUCUAGCAGAUCUGAGCAAUUUCCUGCAACUUGCAAGAUCCCUUCAGAGGCAGCCAUGAGUCUACAGCACGGUUGAUGAUGGCAGUCAAGUAAAGCUAGGCCAGAUGGAAGUUGGAGGUGAACAAUUUACAGCUUUCCUAACGACAGGACAAGAGUAGAACCAGGCAGACAAGAUACUCUGCCCCUUCCUUAGCAGAUCAGCAUCAACAGAAGAAGAAAUAGCUAUGCUGUUGCAGUAAUGGAAGAUUAGAAAAUGCUGAACAUGAACAAAUCAGAAACACAAGAGAACAGCAGUGCUCAUCAGGUGUAACAGCAACUCCAUUUGGAUGGCACUGGCUUCCAGUGGAGUCGCUGUUACUUUCGAUGGGCACUUACAGAUCAAGGAUCCUUUCCCUUUCGAAAUCGUUGUUUCUACAAAGUAACUUCACCAGUGGUAUGACUGGUUUUCCAUGAGGUAGAAGGUGUACAAGACUAUGACCUAUGAAUUGACAGCCAGUGCAAUUACAGCUUUGCCUGUCAGUUCUAUAGGCCACUAUUUUGUCCAUCGCUAAAACAUUCAA